UAAAAGACAUUGAAAAGGAGUAUUAGCAGUAUCAUUAUGGUGCUAGAGAAUUGACGGUUGGUGCAAGUCAAUCCAUUUAUGCUGUGAACUCGCCUUGAAGUUGCGAAUAUGAAGUAUAGUAGUAUUUGUCGUUUCCCUGCGUUAAAGGGUGUCGAGUUGAAUGUGCAUUCCAUUGUGCAUUAAUAAGGGUGGUACCGCGGGAAAGGAAUAUUGAAGACCUCUCGUCCCUUGA
rnacentral:ncRNA from 1 species